rnacentral:tRNA from 1 species
GCCUAGCUAGCUCAAUCGGUAGAGCGUGUGACUCUUAAAAUCUUGGGUCCCGAGAAUUAUGGUCAUCACAAGGUUGGGGGUUCGACCCCCCCGUUGGGCU